GUAAUUGUGUCAGAUAAAUGAGGUAAUUUUAAGCGUUAUUGAUGGGAUGUUAUCCCCCUUUACU
rnacentral:tRNA from 1 species